UUUAAACUGCAACUGCCGUCAUUUUUUGUUUAAGCUGAUUGAUGUGCCUGUGAAUGUUUAAACUGUCCUUGCACUCAUUUCGUUUCAAACAUUGCUUGUUGAAUUCAUUGAUAUACUCACUGUUAUGAAUAUGAUUGCUGAUCUUGUGAUCUGAUUAAAUUGUUGAAUUCUGCAUUGCAUCCUGAUUAGAAGCAUUAUUUUCUCUGCUGAAUAACUGGUUCAUAAUUGUUGGAGUACUUAAGCUUGUGCAUCAACAUUGUUUUCACUGACAAUUUCUGCAUCACAUCACUCUUGUUCAGUUUGGUUGAUCUGAGUCUGAAUGUGUUUGCCUCUUUUAAUCACAAAUUGAUAUUGCUAAUACUGUAUGUGCUGUUGGCUUUGGUAUGAAUAAUUUGUGAAAGUUGAAUUAAUGGAAUCAUUUGUACAUUGCUUGUAUUGAUCUGGUUUUGAUUAGCUUGAUAUAUCAGUUUGAUCUCAGAAUUGAAUGUCAUUUGUUUGACUCUGGUUUACUGUCCAUUUCCAUUUGCAUUUGCUGGACUUUGGUUUGAUUUUGUGUGCAGCUAUUGCAGAUUAUAGAAUUGCAGCUCGAAUUAGUUUAGUUUAAGCAGGAGUGUAACUUGAGUAUGCAGUAGCAGAAUCACUUCCCUUGAGAGAAUUGAACUGAAGGGAGUUUCUAUUAUUUUAAAAUUGCUUCUGUUUUGCUACACUUGAAUCUCUAUGGCUUACAAUUAGUGAAUUGAUUGGAUUGCUAAUUUCUGGAAUUAAAUGUUGCUUGUGCAGAUUUGAUUUGCUUGGUCUUGAGCAAGCCAGAAGCAGACAUUUGAAUAGGUUUAGUCGUAAAGAACAACUAGGAUCUUUGAGCUGAACCGAUUGUACAAGACCGAGAAAGGGAAGUCUAUUACCAUAUAUCUUUAUCUGCCAUUUGUUUUAAUUAAGUGAAUUCUCACAACAAUUGUGUGCAGGUGUGAUUGUAGGAUAUCCAACAACAACAAAUUGAAGCUGCAAGAUGGAGCAUGAGAUUUUGGAAGCAUUGGACAAGGUCUGGGCACAAAAGAGUUGGACCGUAGCAUCAGUGGACUGUACAGCAGAGUACCACCAGCAGGUUAUAGCUUCAUUGGGCCGUAGCUUAGGAUUGAAUGUUUUGUAAUUUUUUAUUUUUUUGUGUAUUUGAUGGGCUUGUGUCAGCCCAAUGUCUUUGUUAGUUUUAUUUUCUGGUUUGUAAAGGGCCUUUUAUAAAGUCCAAGAUUGGAAGAGUCCUUGGUGCUCUUUCCAUUCUUGGCAACCUUUCUUGAUU
rnacentral:lncRNA from 1 species